rnacentral:rRNA from 1 species
CAGUCGCCACGGUAAUACAGAGGGUGCAAGCGUUAAUCGGAAUUACUGGGCGUAAAGCGCGCGUAGGUGGUUUGUUAAGUUGGAUGUGAAAUCCCCGGGCUCAACCUGGGAACUGCAUCCAAAACUGGCAAGCUAGAGUAUGGUAGAGGGUGGUGGAAUUUCCUGUGUAGCGGUGAAAUGCGUAGAUAUAGGAAGGAACACCAGUGGCGAAGGCGACCACCUGGACUGAUACUGACACUGAGGUGCGAAAGCAUGGGGAGCAAACAGGAUUAGAUACCCCGGUAGUCCCUGUCUCUUAUAC